GACGGUGGCAAUAGCGGUGGGGAGACGCCCGGUCCCAUCCCGAACCCGGAAGCUAAGCCCACCAGCGCCGAUGGUACUGCACCCGCGAGGGUGUGGGAGAGUAGGACACCGCCGUCA
rnacentral:rRNA from 1 species